rnacentral:rRNA from 1 species
UACGAAGGGGGCAAGCGUUGUCCGGAUUUAUUGGGCGUAAAGAGCGUGUAGGCGGCCUGAAAGGUCAGCUGUGAAAACUCGAGGCUCAACCUCGAGACGUCGGUUGAAACCAUCUGGCUAGAGUCCGGAAGAGGAGUGUGGAAUUCCCGGUGUAGCGGUGAAAUGCGCAGAUAUCGGGAAGAACACCCGUGGCGAAGGCGGCACUCUGGGACGGUACUGACGCUGAGACGCGAAAGCGUGGGGAGCGAACAGG